rnacentral:tRNA from 2 species
GCCCGCUUGGCGGAAUGGUAGACGCCAGAGACUUAAAAUCUCUUGCCCUCCGGGGCGUGCCGGUUCGAGUCCGGCAGCGGGCA